GCAGCUCUGAUCUUUGCACCAGGUUUUAUCCUUUCAAACCCCAGGGCAAUGUUUCUCCAUGAUGAAUUUGAUGUUUUCAGCCGCACCUCCUAACCCCAAUAUCACCCACCUUCCCUUUUCCCAUCCUGUUGAAUUUCUGAGCCCAUUUCCCACGGGGAGGGCGACCCCUCCGCCAGGAUCAGGGUGUAGGAUUUGGGGGAAUCUCCCCAUUUCCAGCAUAAUCCUACCCGUGCCCUGCGGGCUCUGCAGGAGCACAGCCCAGCUGCCCAGCAAAUGCGCGAGCAGCCCGCUGCAAUCAGGCUUUAGCUGGGUGCCCCUCAUUUUAAUCAUUUACAGCGGGGUUAGGGCUCUGCUCUGACUGUCGUCUGCUGUUAUGGCUGGUGACCGUGUCAGGGAAGGGGAUCCUGCUCUGGUUUUGGGGUGUCUCACACUGUUUUUUCUCCAUCAGGGCCAUGACAGCGUCUCCUCGCUCUGACGGCUGGGAGGAAACUUCCAGCUCCCCCCCUCUCCAAGUCCUGCUGGUCUCGGACCGGUGCUGGGCUUCAGCUGGAUGAGCUCCUCUGCCCUUCUCCGGAUUUUAUUCCCCUUGAAAUAUUUGCCUUUCAGAUGAAGCUCCCCCGUGUCUGGUCCGAUGGCAUUUGUAUUCCUCUGCCUCUCCUGGAAACACUUCUCCAAUUCAAAAUUGUGUUUGGCUUGUAACCCGCCGGUGGCUCUCCAACAGCUCCAGCCAUCCCGGCACACCGGGGACCCUCCUGUGCCACUAUUUUCCUUGCAGGCUGCCUCCUUGUACCCCAAAUCCAUCCUUGCUGAGCUGCUGCCACGGGAAUGUCUCUGUGCCAAAGCCAGCGGUGACCCCAGGACAGAUUUUUCCUUUCUCAAGGAAGUCAAAAGGUACCGGGGAAAUCCCAAAUGAAGUGGAGCUUGGGGCUGGCACUGGGUGAAUACGGAUCAGCACCGUGGUGACUUUCAGGAGCUGAAAACCUCUGGUUCCCCGAUGUGAGGAGCACACUUGGUGCGUCCUUGGGCGCGUUCCUUCAUCGCCUCCAGGCAACGCCACCCGCUGGGUCUGGUCCUGAGCAGCAUCCCCUGCCCUGUGCCUGGACAGCACCCGUGCCGUGAGCUGGGGGGCUGCCAGAGAGAGCCAAAGCUUCCCAAAACCAGCCUGAGCAUGUGGAGAGCUUGGGGAGGUGCUGGGGGCUUUCUGGGCUCUGUUUGCAGCCCCGUCCUCCUCCGGCUGGCAAACGGCGCGGUGCUGGAGCCAGGUGACAGGCAUGGGGUACCCGAACCCAUCUGAUAACGGCCCAGGUGCUGCCGUUCCCAGCCGGAGAGGCGGGCAGGGGGUGCUGAGCUUUGUGUCCCGGUGGUUUUCAUCAGGGCAGCAGCUGCUUCCCCUGCAGCAGGGGCUCGGUGAUUGCACCGCGGGUUGUAGGGCUGCUGGGGCUGAGACGUGAGCGCAGCCAGGGUCACGGCGGUGGGGACAUGGGCAGGGACGUGUCCCCUCCUUGGGCAUAGUUUUGCAGCCCUUCGGGGUGGUCAUGAACCUUCUGCCCCCCAAAAAGGGCCAACAACAGGGGCUCAACUGUGCUUGUCCUCCCCCCUCUUCCUUCCCUCCCCGCGUUGCUCUCCCAGCUCCGAGCUGCUGCGUUUCUCUUCCCCUCUCUUUCUGCUUGCACACCUUGAGGUAGAAACAUCUGCUUUUUGUACAAAAGCUCUUUGUGUUGUAUUCCCCACCCCGGGGGGGGAGUUGGGCUCCUCCAAGAGCUGCCUCACCGUGGCGAGGACGCGCACCCCAUGCCCAGCACCUCCGUGGCCCCAACAGCCCAGAGCCCCAAAAAUACUGGGGAUGGAGCUGGGGGGAGCCCUUGGAGACCCCCAGGGCCGCAGCCUCCACCUUCCCCCACUAUUUAGUUAUUUAUUGCUGGCCAAGUGCUGACGUGGGGCAUUCCUCGCAUCCCUGCGGGACGGGGGCUGCUCCUUCCAGAUCCUGCACCCUGGGGAGCGGCUGCGGGGCGCAGGGCAGGUGGGGUGCUGAGAGCCCCCCUGAGCAAACUGGGAGCUGUGGAAAGAGGAAAGUGGCUCUGGAGGAGAGGAGGAUUGUCCCGUGGUAGUGCAGGAAGGAGGAAUUUGAGGGGGAAGGAGCCUGGCACCUCGGGGUGAGACCCACGGGCUUCGCCGGGACGUGGGGUGCACCCGGAUCUCCCCUCUCUGCUUUCUGCCCGAUGCUCGCGUGCUGUGGGAGAAGAAACCAGGGGUUGGAGCUCCUCGUCUGGAAGCAUCGAGCCAUUUGGGGAAAAGCCAGCUCAGCUCCGGACCCCUGCAUCCCCGUGUGCACAGCGCUGGAGGUCUGUCCCCAUCGCUGCCACCACCGCCGGCCCGGCUCUCCAGCAGGUUUGCUCCCCGAGAGGUGCCAGAGCGUUCAUUGCGAUGCACGCCGUGAUGCCGACGAGUCCAUUAGGGGGAUUAAUUCGGAUGGCAUUUAAUAAACAGCCACUCGGAGGGGUUAAAAAAAAUAAAUAAAAAAAAGAAGCCACAUGUGGAUGCGGGAGAGGAAGGGGGGGGUGAUAAAAUAGAGAGGAGUCGCAGUUUUGUGCACGGUAAGAGGGGGCAGGAUUAAAACACAUGUGGAAGGGGCCGAGCACCUUGGGUUCACGUUCCCCUGGUUGUUUUGGGAAAACCCCAGGCUGAAAUUUUGGGAUGGGGGCAAAUCAGGGCUGGGGGGGGGAGGGAGGAUCCAGCCCCAGCCUGAUCCAAGGCAGCCGCGGUGGGGCCGGGGGGGCUCGGAGGCCGUUGGUGCCCAUAUGGUGUGUAUUACAAGCUCCUUUCUAGUUGUAAAGAUUAAUUUAAAGCCUUUCUCACCUCCCCCCCAUCCCUCUUUCAUUGACAAAUGAACAUCUGGGCUGAAUGCUGCCCAGAUCCUAAUCAAAGCAUUUUUGUAGGGGCGCUGUCUGCGUUUAGGGCUAUCUGCGCCCUCGCUUCGCCGCCGCUUCGAUGCGCUCGGCCAUUCCGCCCGCACGCACCCCACGCUGGUAUUUAUGGUGCACGCUUGGGUUUUUAACCUGAUUUCGCUCUUUAAUGCAAUUUUUCUCUUUGCCUUCCCAUCCGCUUGCUUGUUUGGUGUGGUUUAACGCCGCCCUGGCUGUAUGGGAGUGAGGGCACAAUGGGGUUUCUUUCCCCGUUUUAUGGUGGAUUACUGAUGAUGAGCAAAAAAAAAUGUAUUUUUUGGCUACGUGGGUUGAUGGGAGGGGAUCCCAAAUCCCCAGUGAGCAUCUCUGCUCACCCCAAAGCAUCAUCAGUAGCCAUUCUCCAACCCAGGUGAAACACCGAGGGUUCCCCCUGCUUGGGGGAGGCUUUUGCGGUCUGGCCUUUGGGAUUUAAUUUGAUUUGAGUACCUGGCCAGAAUGGGGCUGUCUUUCUGCUCUUGUUUAAAGUGGGUUUGCUGCUGUCUUUGGUUUUGUAGAUGCUCAGCCUGGUGCAAAAGUUCCUGUCCAUAUAGGAAGCUGUCCGUAUAGGAAGCUGUCCGUAUAGGAAGCCGUUCCCCUGCAGACUCCCACAUGGGAUUUAAAGGAUUAAUAUUUAAAAUCCGGCUGGGAUGUUGGGUGACAUUGGUCAUGGCGCAGGUGGAGAGGAAAGGAGGGUGCCUGAGGCUGUAGGUGAGGAAAAAGGAGGAGGAAAGUCCCUUUUGGGUGAAUACAACGUGACUUGAAGGAGACGUGUGGGGUCCCCUGUGUCCAUCCCUGUCCCAGCCUCUUGCACAGAAGGGAGCUGGGCAGUGAAGGAGGACAAAUUUGGGGGAACACGGAGCACGUUCCUUUCUGUAGGUCGGGUGUGAGCAAACAGGAGGAGGGGAAGGGGCUGGGGAAGGGGGAUUGGGCUCGAAGCAGAGCUCCUGGGGCCGGGUACCCCUGCGGACGCACUGGAUCAGGGUUGGGGGAUAUCAGGGUGCUUAAAAACAUCGAGGAGAGGUCUUGUUUGUACAGCAAGUGUGUGGGGUGGUGGGGAUAUUGACUAAAAAUGUUAUCCUAAGAGAGAUAGAAACCAUUGUGGUGGAAAGGGCUCGCUUCAAGGGUGGCCCAAAUCCUGCCGGCUGGUGCCGAUGGGGACUCCUAUAAUAAUAGGUAUUUUAGCCAAUGUGUACCCCCCAUGCGCACAGGGACUUCUUGUCCCACUCGCUCUGUUUCGGAGGUUGCCCUCUGCACAUUGUGGCCGAGGAGGCUUUUUGGGGUGGUGGAAGAGGGAGGCGAUGGGUCCUGGGGGGCCCCACGGUGUCCCCAUGGAGGAGGAGGCGAUACCCAGCACCUCCAUCUCCAAACGUGUCCCCGGUGCCAUGCAUCGGGCAGGCACUGCCCUGCUCCGCGAGCUGCUGCUGAGCGGGGAUUUGCUGCUGGAACUCCGCUCAGAAAGUCACUUCCAGCCUUUUCUCAUUUCUCCUGGAUUUAAGGCAGCUUCCAAAUUCCUGCGCAGCCAAAUCCUCGCUGGGGCUGCCAGGAAACCCAGCCAGAAACGAGUACGUGCUGUUUCUGUACCCGCAGCGCAUCCAGGAUUCCUGUUAUUCUGCGGCUGACGAGGACGGGCAGCAGCCCCGGUCCUCCCCACACCAUCCCGGUGCUGUCACAUCCCUGCCACACGUCUGUGGGUCAGGGAACACAGACCAGGGGGGCCCCCGCUGCGCCGUCCCCUUCCCUGGCACCUGGGCUCAUCCCGUGCCCAAAACUCGAGGUGAUGGGGACAGUCCCACCGGCUCCGUGCCAGGCCCCUGCUGCUCAGCAGCCAUCGCUGAACUUUAUUUAUUUUUUGGGGUAUUUUUAACCCGAAAACCCACCCCAGAUUCCCUAAACUUUACCCGCCCGCCCUCCCCGUAACCUCGCCGCCUUCCCCAAGCGUGGAAGCGCGUUGGCUUUAUCUGCUCCUGCGCAGGAUUUAUUAUCCCCAGGACUUCCUGUGCUUUCUUUCAACAUGCUCUAUUUCUCCUCGCGAGCAAUAAAUCAAAACUGUUUGUUUCGGGUUGCUUCUUUUCUAAAAAAAAAAAUAAAUAAAUUAUUAUUUUUUUUUCUAAUUUCUUCCUCCGUAGCGCUGGUGCCGUGGGGAGCGCCUGGCAGCCCCGGGGGUUUCAGGACGAGCCGGAGGUGCAGGGGAGAUGCGGAGAAGCCCCAAGGCCAUGGACUUUGGUAUGAACCCAGCUGGGAUCCUGACCUUCCCGCAGCGCUUUCCUCACCUGGAGGCAUUUUUUAUUUUUUAUUUUUCCCUCUCCCCUCGUGCAGCGUUGGCUCUGCAAACCGUGCCGGCCGCCUGGGAAGCAGCCUGGUCACGCUCCCAGUGCCGAAUUUUUGGGGGAUUAUUAUUUUCCAGCGGCUCUUAUACAACGGCAGAGGAAGCCUGCAGGGUUUCCACCGCCCCUCGCCAGCGCCGCGCGUGCUGGUUUGGGCACGCCUGCGACAGCGUGGGUGCGCCUGGGGGUGCAGGGAGCAAACAGGAUCCACCAGGAGACUUUGGCUUAUAGGAAACAUGUGUCCCAAGGAUUAACAGCCGUGUAAAAGAUAAAGCAGCCAGUCGAAGCUCCAGCCAGCACGUUUCAAAGAGCCCGCUGCUGUCGCGCCGGGCAAGAACCGGGGCGAGAAGGAAGGGGAUGGGGAAGGUAAAAAUGGGCUGCAGAUCGCCCCGUCCCGAUAACACCAGGCUGGGGAUGGAGCUGCUGCUGCUGGCUUUGCUCCCUGGGGAUGUGAGCGCAGAGCAGUGUCCAACCUCUGUCCCUCUGCCCCAUUUCUUCCACCUCUCCCCCUUCUUUUCCUUUUUUUUUUAUUUAUUAUUUUUUAUUUCUUUAUUUUCCCAGGCCCCAAUUUCUCCCCCGUCGAGGCAAACGCUUCGGCUAAUUAGCAAAACGCGUCCAAGACCGUGAUUAAUAUCCCGGGAGGAGAUCUCGCUGCCUUUGUGCCGGCGAGGACUGACUUCUGCUCUAAAGGUUUUAUUAAAAAUAAAGGGAGCCGGGGACGGGCGAGCGCAGCGUGCGCCCUGCCUGGAGUUAUGGGGUUGGAGAGGGGGGACGCGGGCGGAUCGGGGUCACCGUUGGAGGGAGGGGGCUCGUAUUCCCCUGCCUCGGUGUGUGACGGUCACCGUGGUGUCUGGCCUUGGCAGAGGGAAAGGCGGAAAGCGCCGCUGAAUGGUGGCUUUAUUCCUGCAGGGGCAGGUAACCCAAUCCCCUUGGCCAGAAGGAUCCCUGCGUGGGUGCGUGCCAAGGGGGGAUUUGGGGAGGGGAUGCUCGGGGUGGGCGUCCCGAAUUGGGGCUGAGUCUGGCAUCACAUUAGGGUGAUGAGGAGGGGGCACCAGGGCAGGGUCCCCAUCCCAGCCCUCUGGCUGAGGGCAGUUCUGGCAGCAGGGCCAGAGGUACCCGCACCCUAUAUCCAGGCUCGAGCCCCUAACAGGACACCCCUAACACGGUUUGCCGUGUGCCAAACCUCACCAUCUGAGCCAAAUCCCUACAAAUCCACCCCCAAACCACCCCCGUUUGCAGCGGGCUCUCACAAAACCCCCACGACCCUCCCACCAUCCCAUGACCCAGACCCAGCAGCAUCGCACGGGACGUGCCAAAAUCCCGGCGGCGGGGCAGGGACGGGACCAGAGGGAGCUCCAGCUCCGGCUCUCCUCAUUAUAAUUAUAAUUAUUAUUAAAAAUCUGGAAUCUUGAGAAACUCCAAAAGCCAGCAGCCAUCUGCAACCCAUCCCGGGGGGGCCGGAGGGAGCCUCGGUGGGGGCUGCGUGCGGCCGGGUGCGCUCGGCGAGGUUUUUUUUCCCCGCAGUAAGCAGGCCCCCGGGCUUUAAUGAGCUAUUUGUAAAACUGGCUCUGGAUAAACAAGAGGCCGUGUGUCAGGCUGGAGGCGGCCUCGCAGGGCUCGGCGGCGCUGGGUGGGACCUCAGCGCAGAAAUAUUUUCAAGAUAAACAGAGGAAAAGGAGUCCUGGAGGAGGAGGAGGAGGCCGGAGCCGCUGGCAGCGGCACGCCGCUCCUCUCCGAGAUAUUUCGGGGCAGGGACUUGGCUUUCUGCACACCGUGGCUGAAAGAUGCCUUUUUUUUUUUUUAAUUUUUUUCUUUUUUUUUUUUUUCUUUUUUUUCCUCCAAGGGGAACCUCGAGCGCUGCUGGGUCAGAACUAACCCCCCCAGGUGCUUUGCAGGAAAGCCCUGUAUGGGGGUAUGGGGAGGAGAGGUGCAAAGCAGGGGGUUGGUCGGGGUGUUUUGGGGUACAGGAGAGCCCCCCCGGGAUCCCCCACAGCUCUUCCAUCCCCACGGGUGGGUAGGGGAAAGGCUGUGCCCCUCCAUCCAUCCCUGCCCUCCUCACCAGCAGCUCAGGGGGAUGCUCUGGGGAGGGGGCACGGGGGCAGGAUCACACCUUUGGGGGCCUGGUGGGUUCCCACCACCUUUUCCCAGUACCGAUGGCCAAAACCCAUCCGCUGGGGAUGCCCCAGGGGUGCCCAGGACCCCAGUGCCCCCCCUGCCCUGCACGCUGCCAAUCUGCCCCCCACCCCAAAAUGCUAAAAAGAGGGCUAAGAGGGGUGGGAGAAGACGACCCCGAUCCUGCCCCCGCUGGGUCCUGCCCCAUCACCAGCCUUCCCCGCCAAGCUUUGGGGCCACGGCUGCAGAGAUCUGCCCGGUAUCUCCCUCUCCUCCCCACCCCCAGCAAAUUUAAUUAAAAGUCAUUCAGAUUCCUUUGAAAGAAAAUGUCAUCCGUCGACACAAUUACACUUUAACUAACCAAAGCUGUUACAGUUCCUAUAUAUAUUGGAAUCAGGCUGUCGUUAUUAGUUCUAAGUAAGUAAUUUAUUCCCAUUAUUGUGUUCAAAUUACAGGAUAUUACCCCCUGGGGAAAUAAUCCUGUUAUUUGAAAUGUAAAAAAGAAUUCACAUGGACAACAAUGGAUUCCUAAACGAACCUAACAACAGUCCCGAAUCCAGGCACAGCAGCGGCUACAAAUCCAGAAAGUUGCUUUUAAAAAUGUGUUUUCUCCUCUUUUCCUCCUCCCACCCCGGCGGAGGUAAAUAGGGCUCCUCCUCUCCGCCAAAAACCUCUAUUUAUUGGGGGAGCGGGGCCGAAUCUGCAGGAAUUUGGCGGGGAGCAGGGGCCGAGCUGCAGCCCCGCGGGGGUCCCGUGGGGGUUUUUGCAGCAUCGCUCCCUUCAUCGCCAUCUCCUUGGGAGAAGCCAAAUUAAAAGCUCGUCCCCGCGCCACCCAAACAUCAGCAAGUCAUUGGGACCCCCGAAAGGAAAAAAAGGGGAAAAAAAAAAAAAAAAAGGCAAGAAAAGAAAGAGAAAGAGGAGGAAGAGGGAGGGGAGGGAGGAAAAUCAGAUACACUUGUAACCUGAUUACAGCAGCCAGCUAUGUGUGCAAAAUCACAAUGCAGCUCUAUAAUUAAAUCUCUCUUUCCCCCUCCUGCCGAGCUCUUUCCUCUAACAGCCACGGUACAAAAACAGUCGUUAGGACAUCAAAUUCCAGCUCCGACAAGAGGGGACUUUUUUUUUUUCUUCUUUUUUUUUUUUUUUGUCUCUAGCCGCUCGGCUCGUCUUUAAGGAAAUAAUAAUUAUCGGCCCGCUGCCUGCAGAGCUUUGUGGGGCAGAAAGGGCUCGCCUCGCCGAACCCCGCUGCUCGCCGGGGCGUGGGGACGCCCGUCCCGGGUCCUGCAUCACACCCAGGGCCACGAGGAGCAUUGGGGACGUGGGAAGGGACAGUCAAGGGACACCCUCACCGGGGGUUGGAGGCGAAAGGACACCGUGGGGUCUCGCACUGGGGCUGGGGAGCCCUCUCCAACAGUGCUUGGACCGGGGAUGUUUCCACCAAAUUUGCCCCCAUGGGGUCCUUCCAGUGUGUUUGGGUUGGCCAUGGGGUGCUGUGACGUGCCCAUGGGGUGCUGUGACGGCUUGGUGGGUGCACGGAGCACCCCAAGGACAGGAGGAGCCAGUGGCUCCGAGGGUCUCCCCGUGCGCCCCUUAUUGCUGCCGAAUUUUUGGUGUUCAUCCCGGCGGGCUCUCUCCAGACGUGCUUUUGCCGGCAGCAGCAGGCCGGGCUCAGCUUUGGGGCCCGUUUCCCUGUGGGUCAGGCUCUUUUUUUGGGGUGUUUUUGGCGUUGGGUUUUGCCCCUGCUCUUCUUUUCCACCAGCGGGGCCGGGGCGCUGAGCUGCGCGCGGUGACGGCGCGGCUGGGGCAGAGUCCCUGGGGAGGGCGAGGAAAAAAAAAAUACAGCCCUGGGGGGGCCGUGGUGGGACCUGGCACGUGAAAUCACCACGGGGGGGGUGGGGCGCGGGGAUGGUGCCUGUCACGAUAGGGCAGGGUCCUUGGAUGGCUCCUUGUCACGAUAGGGCAGGGCGCACGGACAGGGCGCACGGGCAGCACCUCGGGACAGGGCAGGGUCCACGGAUGGCACCUUGUCGUGACACGUUGCAUGUCACGACAGGCAGGCAUGUAGAAGGGGACACCGGUUUUACCCCAAAUCCCAAACUUGAUCCCAAAUCGGAUGCUCCCUCCCAGCCCCAUCCGAUCCCAAAAUGACAGAUCCAGGGAACCCCCCCUCGGGCACGGGUUGGCACAGGGCUCACCCUGCACAGCCCGGCACACGGGUGCCAAAAACCUCCAGUUGUGACACCGGGCGUUAUAGGGGGGCUGCAUUUUGGGGUAUUUCCCCUACAUUUCCCCACUAAACCACAUUUUUCACUCCCUGGGGUGUGAGCAGCCCUGGGAUCUGCGCUCCUCCCCAGCCAUCCGCGGGUGGUGGGUGCCAGCCCCCAUCCUGCUCGGGGGGGUUCUUUAUUUUUUAUUUAUUUUUGCCUGAUUUUGGAAGAAAAAAAAAACUUUUUAUAGGGUAAAAGAUGAGAAAAAAAAAAAAAAAGCAAAAACCAACACCCAAACCAAAACACAAGCCAAGAAGCCAGCCCUGCUCCACCAAACACCCCGGGAUCCUUCACCUGCUUCCUGGGGGUCUCCCUAUGGGACCCCCCCACCGGGAUGCAGCGAGGAUGGGGGGGUCGCAUGCCCCCCAAAUUUAUCCUGGUAUUGGGAUGCGUUGCACCAGGGACCCCUUUUUGCCUUCAAAUCCCAUCCGUGCUGUGCCACCCCCUGGGGGGGGGGGUGUUAUUUUGGGGGGGGGAUCCCUGCUCCGCUUUGGUGAUGUGGGAAAGGAAUUGAGCCCCCCCCCUUUAGCCCCCCCAAGGCUUUGCCCCCCCAAAAAGCAAGGGAAGGGAGAUUUUUGGAGGGGGGGGGACAGUUUGUUUUGACUCUCACAUCUCCAGGCUGGUCCCUUCUGUUCCCAUUGACCCCCCCAAGGGU